rnacentral:rRNA from 1 species
UUAAAUUUUAUUUAUUAAUAUUAUUUAUUUAUAUAAUUUAUUUAAUAAAAAUAAUUUUAAUAAUUAUAGUUUUAGUAUUUUUUAAAGAAAUAAUAAUUUUAAUAAUAGUUUAUUUGUAUUGUAAAAGAAAAUUGAAAUAAUUUGAAAAAUUUUUAUAUAAAAAGAAAAUUUAAUUUAUUGUACCUUGUGUAUCAGGGUUUAUUAAUUAAUUAAUUAUUAUAAUAAUUUUUCUCGAAUUUUAAAGAUUUAAUUAUAUAUGAAAGUUACUGUAGAAUAAUUAUUUUUAAUAUAUAAUUAGAAAUGAGAUGUUAAUCGUUUUAAAAUAUAUCUAGUUUUUUAAGAAAUAAAUUUAAUUUAGAUUUAUGAAUUAAAAAUUUUAUUUAUUUAAUAUUUUUAUUUCAUGAAAUUAAUAUUUUAAGGGAUUAGCUUUAAAAUAAAUUUUUAAAUUUUUAAUAAAAUAAUUAAUAAAUGUAAGCUUAAAAAUAGUUAUCAUUAAUAAAUUUGUUAUAAUUUAUUUUAAAAUUUUUAUUAUUUAUUGUUAAAUUAAAUUAUUUAUUAAAAUAUAAAUUUUAAUAAUAAUAAUUUAUAAAUUAUGAUAAAAUUAGUAUAUUUAAUUUAUAUAAAUUAUUUAAAAUGAAAGGUUUAAAUAAGGAAUUCGGCAAAUUAUAUAUUCACCUGUUUAUCAAAAACAUGUCUUUUUGUAUUUAAUUUAAAGUCUAACCUGCCCACUGAUAAUUAUUAAAGGGCCGCAGUAUUUUGACUGUGCGAAGGUAGCAUAAUCAAUAGUCUUUUAAUUGAAGGCUUGUAUGAAUGGUUGAAUGAGAUAUAUACUGUCUUUUUUAAAUUUUUAUAGAAUUUUAUUUUUUAAUUAAAAAGUUAAAAUGUAAUUAAAAGACGAGAAGACCCUAUAGAUCUUUAUUUUUGUUGAUUAUAAAUUAAAAAGAAUAAUUAAAUUUAUAGUUUAAUAAAAAAUUUUACUGGGGUGGUAUUAAAAUUUAAAAAACUUUUAUUUUUUGUUUACAUUAAUUUAUGAAUAUUUGAUCCAAUUUUAUUGAUUAAAAAAUUAAGUUACCUUAGGGAUAACAGCGUAAUUUUUUUUUAGAGUUCUUAUCGACAAAAAAGAUUGCGACCUCGAUGUUGGAUUAAGAGUUAUUUUUAGGUGUAGAAGUUUAAAGUUUAGGUCUGUUCGACCUUUGAAUUCUUACAUGAUCUGAGUUCAAACCGGCGUAAGCCAGGUUGGUUUCUAUCUUUAAUUAAAUAUUAUAUUAUAGUACGAAAGGACCUAAUAUAAAAAAUAUAAAUUUUAAUUUUAUGAAUUAUAUUAAUAUUUAAUAA